UAAACUAUGAUUCCGCAUCCUUUAGUCACCAAAUUAAAUAUGAACUGAUGAUCAUAAUGAUUAAGAUAAAAUGGGUAAAUCCUUUUUAGCCUCCUCUUUCUAUUAUUUACUAUUUUCUUCAUUCCUGAAAACACCAGAAUAUAAUCAUUUCUUGAUUUUACGUUUUUUUAGUGUAUAAUUUGCAUUCUUGGAGCCCAGAAACUGUCUUCUACAAACUUUUCUUCAUAGUACUAUGUAAACGUACACAGGAAAUGUUCAGAAAACAUCAGCCAAAUAGAAUUUGGGAAUUCCUUCACUGACUAGAUAUUGAUGUUUGAUUCUGUCCUGCUUUGUACUCAAUGGAUAUUUCGGGGUUUCCAUUUUGGAAAACUAUUUGGAAAAUUGCAAGCCAUGAGAAAAGCCUCUAAGCUACUCCAGGAGCACUGAGGACUCUUCAUGGGUUCUUAUUGUUAAAGAGUUUAACCCCUCAAGUCACUCCAUUUUUACUAUAUGCCUUGAACUACAAGAUGUGUUAAGAUUUAUAGGAUAAGGUUCUCAUCUCUAAAACCUCAUGGUCUCGGUGGAGAAGCAGUAUUUACACACAUGGAGCAAGUUGAGAGUGCUUGAAUAUGGAGUAUAAAGUGUGUGAUACUGACAAGAAUUUCUAUUGAAGAUCAGGAAGAGGAGGAGCAAAUGAGGAUGGAGACGGACUUUGCAGAAUGGAAGAGAGGCAAAGACAUGAUUAGAAACAAUCUACAUAAUGAGGAGUCACUUUUGGGAGUUAUUUUAAGGCAGAGUAUCACAUCGCAUCAAAACAGCUCCGUCUCCUGCCACUCCACGUGCAAUGCCAUGAACUUAAAUAAAUUGCUGGUAAGAGGACGCAAAUGCUGUGACCAGGCAACUGCUGCAAACCAAUGGGCUUUGGGGAACUGUGCUUCCCUUCAGAAAGGAAAGAGUAUUUGAGGAUGAAAAGGAAGGUAAGAAAGAGGGAUUUAGGUACAAGGAAAUUUACAUCAUCUUUAGAUGAAGGAGGGCUUGAAGGAAACAUCCCAGCAUGUAAAAGAAAAAUGAUAAAUUAAGACUAAUUUUUUAAAAAGUAUCUAUGUACAUUUUUUCACAGGCAUUGCUAAAUCCCGUGUUUUAAAAAUUAAUUUUUCCCUCAUAUUAGCAAUGUCACAAUAGUCACUAUCACUGGAAUGACACUGUAUCAUGCAAGGGGGUGGCAGAGGAAAGCACAGGCAGUGAUGGAUAUACAGAUCAACGUAAUGUGAUGUUGGCAUCCCUUCUCAACUGCAAAUACAAUUACCUUCAGGGUGACAGAACAGCCAAACUGCUUCAGUAAAUUACUAGGAUAUUGCCUUGCUGCUCUAAAUCCUGAGUCUGUUUUCUGGGUUUCUAUAUGUUUGUGGAGAAAUGAAUUUCCAGUUAAAUCUUUGUUAUUCUCUCCCUAGAGCCAAAAAUUGUGGGUGGGGCAAAGACUUAUAUUCAAAACAAAUUUUACUCCUCGAUGCUAUCGCUAUCUUUCUUCCAAGGUCUCUUUGUCAAAGUACCAUUAAUCUAUGCAGGCCACUGCAUUGAUCCUACAUUAUCGAUUCAUUAACCGCCAUUUAUGGAAUACCUCCAAUGCAUCAGUCACUGUGCUAGGCAUUAGGGAUAUAGAGACAAACAACACACUCCAUGCCCUCCAGGAGCCCAUGUUUAGUAGAGAAGAAGGACAACUGAACAAAUAGUCACUAUAUAAAAGUUCAAUGGUCAAGGGUUAUACAAGGUAUGAUCUGGUAUGUAUGAGUAUCUUCCAGACGGGGAAAAUUUCUUAUAUUUUCUGUUGCAAAACAAAUUUCCCCUGUUUUUUUAAAAAAAUAAGUUGGCACCAUUCAAAUCGUCAAUCCAAAAUUAACUGGUCUCUAAGUUAUUGAUGCCCUGCAGCUAGAAAGUCUUUAAUUUUAUUACUGAAAUCUACUGCAACAUAGCCAAGUCUAAUAUAAUACAACCCAAAGGGGAAAUAUCACAUUUAUCUAGAUAUGCAAUUGAAAAAAUUCUGUGUACUUAGAAACUAUGAUAUUUUCACUGCAUAACAAUUUGGGGAAAUCACAUCAGGCCACAUAUUUAGAAGGUAUCCCAUGGCAACCAUGAGAAGUUGCUUUGGUCUCACAUAGCUGAACAUAAAAAUGACUCCUUGCUUAUCAGAUGCCUGGAAGAAGAAGGGGCAGCAAAAGUUAUAUCUCCUUUGGAUUAUUAAAUUAAGCUCCUCUCUGGGCCUCCAUGAGCUCUUGUGAAGCAAGAAAAUGCAUGUCCUACUCUUGGUCCCAUGGAUGUAGUAGAUGUUCUUCAUGCUUGAUUUUUUUCUUUUUUAUGGCAUGUGUCUUGCUCAUACUUAGGGGCUUGUGGUUCAGUGGAGACCACACUGGACUGGACUGAACAGACAACUGAAGAGCUCUCUCUACCUUUCAGCAUCUCUGUCUGCCUUUCUGACUACCUAAAAAGUACUACAACCUCUGACUCUGUUUCUAAGGUGGAUUUUUCCUACUCAUGCUUCCUAGCGACUUGGUGAGGAUUUGUUGAAUCAUGGGACAUUUGAGCUUGCCAAGGUUAGAAGAAUCUUGGUCAUCCAGAAAGCUUGCUACAGCUGCCCAGCAUUUGCCUCCUCCACGAAGAAGGACCAAAAUAACAAGUAGACAAUCACAUGCCAAAUAAAAUGUCUAAGGGAGAGCACUGAAACUCAGCAAAAACGUUACGAAGACCCUCUGAGGUGCAGAAACUCAGGAAAGCAAAGCAGCCAGCCAGGAUCAGCUCAGAGCCAAGAGGGCCCCCGCUUGAGGAGGAAAGGUAAGCAGGAGAUGCCCCGCAGGCAACAUUCCCACCACAAAUGCCUGCAAGCCUAGCUGUAGGAGAGCAGUGUUGAGUCCAGUAUAGGAGCUGCCUGGAGUCUCUGCGACCACAUUGCUCCAGAGAGACCACUGGGGCCCUCCUUAGUCCCUGGGACCAAGCUGCUGCAGCACAGUGCCAUUUUGAGUACAGAGCCACUGCCAGAAUGCUUCCUGUCUUCGGGCCCAGGAACCCCUGCAUGUCCUCAUCACUGGAGCCCCAAUAUCAUUCCAUCACACCCACACACAAGGCUGCAGGGCCAUGACUGCAGUUGGACCCAGUGGUGCAGCUGUGAACCUAGCGCCUGAGCCCGCAUAGUGCAUAGAACUCCAGGAACAGGUGGUCCAGCAAAGUGGGAAGGCUGCCUCUAAGGUAAAGAAAGCAAAGGGGCAUGGUCCUCAGAGUCUGAGAGCUGACAGCCAGGGACCUGCUGCUGCCUGCAAACCCUGCCCACUCCAGCAGCAGAGCCACAACACACCUGCAUGUCACCGCAUACCCUAGGGGGCUGAGGGCUGGCUCUCCUGAGGCUCACUGUAGCUAGCCUCCCCACCUACUCCAGCAGCAGAGCCACUGCAUGCCCACCACCAAGGAUCCUGAGGACCAGGCCACCCGAGGCUCGUUGAUGAUGGCUAAUACACCAACUCCAGUGAUGAAGCUACCAUGUGCCCCUACCCAAAGGCCCAAGGACUGGCUUGUUUGGGGCCCAACAUCACCGCCAGCAACCUUGCCCCCUUCAGCAGCAAAGCCUUCAUGCACCACCCCAAAUGCCUGAGGAUCAGCUCUUCUGAGUGCCGCCACCACUGUGAGCUCAAAGAAGUAGAGAGAAGAAUACAGUUACUAGAGGCUGGGAAGGAUGAGGAAGACAGGACUGGGAGGAUGAAUAGGGAGAGGCUGGUUAACAAACACAAAAUUACAACUAGAUAAGAGGAAAGGUUCUAGUGUUCUAAAGCACUGUAGGAUGACUACAGUUAACACUAACUUAUUGUAUAUUUCCAGAUAGCUAGAAGAAACUAUUUUGGAUGUUCC